rnacentral:lncRNA from 1 species
UAGAUUGCUGAGACAGAGAGCCAAUCCGCUCCAUCCAGACAUCCCAGCGAGCUUCAGCCGUCCGGCCCAAACUCUCCGACAAGUCAUGACAACAGACAUCACUCCACUCUCUGUAAUAGAUUCCAUGUGGCCCCACCACUCUCUGGCAAGUCGCGACAAUGGACACCACUCCACUCUCCAUAACAAACUCUAUGUGGCCC